rnacentral:ncRNA from 2 species
GGACCGAACUCUGGAGAGAACACGCUGGGAACGUGUCACCGACGGGGAGUCCGGCAGGACGAAACUCUCAGGUAGCAGAACAGAGAACAAAAG